GUCGAACCUAUAAAAUAAAUAAAUAUUUAAUGCUCUUUAUUGUACUAAAUAUUGCUGGAAAAUGUUUGUAGAUGUAUUGUAUCAACAUUGGAUGAGAAAGUUGGAUUUUCGUAAUUCAUUUUACAUUUAAGAGUUUUCUUUAUUCUGAUUGGUUGAGCAAGUGGUCUGUGGGCCUCUUAUAGUUAAAAUUAAUCGAGAUUGAGAUUACAUCGUAGGUUGGUUGAAAAAACAGACACAUACACAAAACGUUGGAGGCGUAUCGUUUUCCAUGUAGAUUGGAUGAAGCAAUUGAAUAAAACUUAAAACGACAAGCUUGCGAUUUUGUGUAAAAUCAAUGGAUUGCGUUUGUUCUAAAAUUGUUGUAAAGAAACGUAGGAUUAAAAUCAUCGUUACCGGUAAUUUAAUCUACCCGUGAAAUUCUACACGUCAUAAUCUACCAGUACCAAGAGCAGUAUUCGGCCGGUAUCAGAAGAUAAUAGCCUUAGCUUCCAGUUGACCAAUUUCAUCAAAAAUAGACUUUGCCUCCAGGUCAUUUUUGUGACCUAGUAAAAACUUCCCCACACAGAUCUUGAAGACGAUAACCAAGAAAGUUCAGCAGAGCCCAGCAUCAACGAGAAUAUUGACAGAACAAAACAUACAGCAAUUGAAACAACAGCGAUUUUGAACUAUAAAAAAAGAACAACGAGUGUUUAAAAUGACGACGAUCAUACGUGUCAACAAAUAGCCAUAACUUACAAAUAACGGUUUCUCAUAUAAUACAGCAACGAUUCCCAACAGAGCACUAAGCAUCAGCUAUAAUAAAACAACAACAGAUCAUUAUUAAAAUGAAUUUAUUAUCAAAAAACUACUUUAAGAGCAGAAUAUGAAUGCAUUAUUUACUAUUUAUACUUGAAUGUGCAUUUAAGCGUAAACUCCUCAACAAUGUGGACGUGAUUUAUUUGUGUAAAAGAUACGAAGAUGAUUUUGUUAACAAAGCGAAGUUAUUACAGCAAAGGUUCAAGAAUGUUCUUAUAACUGUUACAUAAAAAAAUAAACGCCGCAGAUCGUUAAAUCGCUUCUGCUAAGACAGUAA